rnacentral:rRNA from 1 species
UACGGAGGGGGCUAGCGUUGUUCGGAAUUACUGGGCGUAAAGCGCACGUAGGCGGCUUUUUAAGUCAGAGGUGAAAGCCCGGGGCUCAACUCCGGAAUUGCCUUUGAGACUGGAAGGCUUGAUCGUCGGAGAGGUGAGUGGAAUUCCGAGUGUAGAGGUGAAAUUCGUAGAUAUUGGGAAGAACACCGGUGGCGAAGGCGGCAUCCUGGACCGGUAUUGACGCUGAGGCGCGAAAGCCAGGGGAGCAAACGGG